rnacentral:rRNA from 1 species
GAUGAACGCUGGCUGCGUGCCUAAUACAUGCAAGUCGAGCGAACGGACGAGAAGCUUGCUUCUCUGAUGUUAGCGGCGGACGGGUGAGUAACACGUGGAUAACCUACCUAUAAGACUGGGAUAACUUCGGGAAACCGGAGCUAAUACCGGAUAAUAUUUUGAACCGCAUGGUUCAAAAGUGAAAGACGGUCUUGCUGUCACUUAUAGAUGGAUCCGCGCUGCAUUAGCUAGUUGGUAAGGUAACGGCUUACCAAGGCAACGAUGCAUAGCCGACCUGAGAGGGUGAUCGGCCACACUGGAACUGAGACACGGUCCAGACUCCUACGGGAGGCAGCAGUAGGGAAUCUUCCGCAAUGGGCGAAAGCCUGACGGAGCAACGCCGCGUGAGUGAUGAAGGUCUUCGGAUCGUAAAACUCUGUUAUUAGGGAAGAACAUAUGUGUAAGUAACUGUGCACAUCUUGACGGUACCUAAUCAGAAAGCCACGGCUAACUACGUGCCAGCAGCCGCGGUAAUACGUAGGUGGCAAGCGUUAUCCGGAAUUAUUGGGCGUAAAGCGCGCGUAGGCGGUUUUUUAAGUCUGAUGUGAAAGCCCACGGCUCAACCGUGGAGGGUCAUUGGAAACUGGAAAACUUGAGUGCAGAAGAGGAAAGUGGAAUUCCAUGUGUAGCGGUGAAAUGCGCAGAGAUAUGGAGGAACACCAGUGGCGAAGGCGACUUUCUGGUCUGUAACUGACGCUGAUGUGCGAAAGCGUGGGGAUCAAACAGGAUUAGAUACCCUGGUAGUCCACGCCGUAAACGAUGAGUGCUAAGUGUUAGGGGGUUUCCGCCCCUUAGUGCUGCAGCUAACGCAUUAAGCACUCCGCCUGGGGAGUACGACCGCAAGGUUGAAACUCAAAGGAAUUGACGGGGACCCGCACAAGCGGUGGAGCAUGUGGUUUAAUUCGAAGCAACGCGAAGAACCUUACCAAAUCUUGACAUCCUUUGACAACUCUAGAGAUAGAGCCUUCCCCUUCGGGGGACAAAGUGACAGGUGGUGUAUGGUUGUCGUCAGCUCGUGUCGUGAGAUGUUGGGUUAAGUCCCGCAACGAGCGCAACCCUUAAGCUUAGUUGCCAUCAUUAAGUUGGGCACUCUAAGUUGACUGCCGGUGACAAACCGGAGGAAGGUGGGGAUGACGUCAAAUCAUCAUGCCCCUUAUGAUUUGGGCUACACACGUGCUACAAUGGACAAUACAAAGGGCAGCGAAACCGCGAGGUCAAGCAAAUCCCAUAAAGUUGUUCUCAGUUCGGAUUGUAGUCUGCAACUCGACUACAUGAAGCUGGAAUCGCUAGUAAUCGUAGAUCAGCAUGCUACGGUGAAUACGUUCCCGGGUCU